GAAGGUGAGGCCAGAAGGCGUAGCCGAUGGACAUCCAGUAGACAUUCUGGACCCGGGUUUAUCAGCCAUGGGAGGACGCUUCUCGAUAUUCCAUCCCGCACUGUUGGUAGUUGCGGGCUAGGCAAAGGUUUGGCUAGUUGAAAGACUAGCGUAAUGACUAAUGCCGGGGAAGGGAACUCUUCGGAGUGAACGAACUGGAAUUGAGGGGGGCCGAGAAAAGCCCCACAGCAUUAAUGAUAAAUUCGACCGUACUGUAAACCGACACAGGUGGGUGAGUCGAGGAGACUAAGGCUUCGAGAGAACUCUCGUUAAGGAACUAGGCAAAUGAGCCCCGUAACUUCGGGAUAAGGGGCGCCAGCGCAAGCUGGCCGCAGCGAAGCAGCCCAGGCGACUGUUUACCAAAAACACAGGUCUCUGCUAACACGAAAGUGGAUGUAUAGGGGCUGACGCCUGCCCAAUGCCAGUAGGUUAACAGGAGAUGUCAGGAGUAAUCCGAAGCAUUGAAUCGAAGCCCUGGUGAAUGGCGGCCGUAACUCUAACGGUCCUAAGGUAGCGAAAUUCCUUGUCGGCUAAAUACCGACCCGCAUGAAAGGCGUAACGACUUGGGCACUGUCUCAACGAGAAGCUCGGUGUAAUUGUAGCACCCGUGAAGAUGCGGGUUACGCGCAGUAGGACGGAAAGACCCCGUGGAGCUUUACUACACCCUGUCACUGCGAAUUGGGUGUAGAUGUAGAGAGUAGGUGGGAGCUUAGGCACCAAUGGAACACCACCCUUCUACAUCUGGUUCGCUAACCGUCACCAUUAUCUGGUGACGAGACAAUGACAGGCGGGUAGUUUGACUGGGGCGGUCGCCUCCCAAAAGGUAACGGAGGCGCCUAAAGUUGCACUCAGGCUGGUUGGAAAUCAGCCGUCGAGCGUAUAGGUAUAUAGUGCGAUUGACUGCGAGACAAACAGGUCGAGCAGGGACGAAAGUCGAGCUAAGUGACCCUCUGGUGGUGCGUGGGCACGCCAGGGUUCAUCGGAUAUAAGCUACCCCGGGGAUAACAGGCUGAUCUUGCCCGAGCGCUCACAGCGACGGCAUGGUUUGGCACCUCGAUGUCGGCUCGUCUCAUCCUGGGGCUGUACACGGUCCCAAGGGUUCCGGAGUUCACGGAUUAAAGAGGCACGCGAGCUGGGUUCAGAACGGCGUGAGCCAGUUCGGUCCCUAUCCACUGCGCGCGGAGGAAAUUUGAGAGGACUCGCUCCUAGUACGAGAGGACCGGAGUGAACCGACCUCUGGUGUACCUGUUGUGCCGCCAGGCGCAUACGCAGGGUAGCCACGUCGGGUCGUGAUAAGCGCUGAAAGCAUCUAAGCGCCAAGCACACCUCAAGAUGAGAUUUCCCAUCGAAAGAGUAAGGCCCCCGGAAGACUACCGGGUUGAUAGGUCGCAGGUGUGAGCGCAGUAAUGUGUUAAGCUGAGCGAUACUAAUUGGCCGAGGGA
rnacentral:rRNA from 1 species